AAUAUACUCACUGUGUAAUAACACACACGAGUCGGCACAUUCACCGGGGUGCUCUCAUGCAGAACAUGCAGCUAAGGAGUCGGUGUUAUGGGGCUCGUGGAGGCAUAACC
rnacentral:sRNA from 1 species